GAGUUUGAUCCUGGCUCAGAUUGAACGCUGGCGGCAGGCCUUACACAUGCAAGUCGAGCGGAAACGAUGGUAGCUUGCUACCAGGCGUCGAGCGGCGGACGGGUGAGUAACGCGUAGGAAUUUGCCCAGUGGUGGGGGAUAGCCCGGAGAAAUCCGGAUUAAUACCGCAUACGCCCUACGGGGGAAAGCAGGGGAUCUUCGGACCUUGCGCCAUUGGAUAAGCCUGCGUGAGAUUAGAUUGUUGGUGGGGUAAUGGCCUACCAAGUCGACGAUCUCUAGCUGGUCUGAGAGGAUGAUCAGCCACACUGGAACUGAGACACGGUCCAGACUCCUACGGGAGGCAGCAGUGGGGAAUAUUGCACAAUGGGCGAAAGCCUGAUGCAGCAAUGCCGCGUGUGUGAAGAAGGCCUGAGGGUUGUAAAGCACUUUCAGUAGGGAGGAAAAGUUAAUGGUUAAUAACCAUUGGCCCUGACGUUACCUACAGAAGAAGCACCGGCUAACUCCGUGCCAGCAGCCGCGGUAAUACGGAGGGUGCAAGCGUUAAUCGGAAUUACUGGGCGUAAAGCGCGCGUAGGCGGUUAGUUAAGUCAGAUGUGAAAGCCCCGGGCUCAACCUGGGAACUGCAUUUGAAACUGGUUAACUAGAGUGUGGAGAUACCCCGGUAGUCCACGCCGUAAACGAUGUCAACUAACUGUUGGGCGGGUUUCCGCUUAGUGGUGCAGCUAACGCAAUAAGUUGACCGCCUGGGGAGUACGGCCGCAAGGCUAAAACUCAAAUGAAUUGACGGGGGCCCGCACAAGCGGUGGAGCAUGUGGUUUAAUUCGAUGCAACGCGAAGAACCUUACCUACCCUUGACAUACAGAGAACUUUCUAGAGAUAGAUUGGUGCCUUCGGGAGCUCUGAUACAGGUGCUGCAUGGCUGUCGUCAGCUCGUGUCGUGAGAUCUUGGGUUAAGUACCGUACCGAGCGCAACCCUUGUCCUUAGUUGCCAUCAGUUCGGCUGGGAACUCUAAGGAGACUGCCGGUGACAAACCGGAGGAAGGUGGGGACGACUUCAAGUCAUCAUGGCACUUACGACCUGGGCUACACACGUGCUACAAUGGUCGGUACAGAGGGUUGCCAAGCCGCGAGGUGGAGCAAAUCCCUUAAAACUUCUCGUAGUCCGGAUUGGAGUCUGCAACUCGACUCCAUGAAGUCGGAAUCGCUAGUAAUCGCGAAUCAGAAUGUCGCGGUGAAUACGUUCCCGGGCCUUGUACACACCGCCCGUCACACCAUGGGAGUGGAUUGCACCAGAAGUAGUUAGUCUAACCUUCGGGAGGACGAUUACCACGGUGUGGUUCAUGACUGGGGUGAAGUCGGAACAAGGUAGCCGUAGGGGAACCUGCGGCUGGAUCACAUCCUUU
rnacentral:rRNA from 1 species